rnacentral:rRNA from 1 species
CCUUAGAUCGUACCCACAUUUACUUGGAUAACUGUGGUAAUUCUAGAGCUAAUACAUGCAAACCAGAGUUCCGACCAGAGAUGGAAGGAACGCUUUUAUUAGAUCAAAACCAAUCGGUGGCCGGUUCGCCGGUCCAUCGUUUACUUUGGUGACUCUGAAUAACUUUGUGCUGAUCGCAUGGUCUCGUACCGGCGACGCAUCUUUCAAAUGUCUGCCUUAUCAACUGUCGAUGGUAGGUUCUGCGCCUACCAUGGUUGUAACGGGUAACGGGGAAUCAGGGUUCGAUUCCGGAGAGGGAGCCUGAGAAACGGCUACCACAUCCAAGGAAGGCAGCAGGCGCGCAAAUUACCCACUCCCGGCACGGGGAGGUAGUGACGAAAAAUAACGAUACGGGACUCAUCCGAGGCCCCGUAAUCGGAAUGAGUACACUUUAAAUCCUUUAACGAGGAUCCAUUGGAGGGCAAGUCUGGUGCCAGCAGCCGCGGUAAUUCCAGCUCCAAUAGCGUAUAUUAAAGUUGUUGCGGUUAAAAAGCUCGUAGUUGAAUCUGUGUGCCACGCUGUUGGUUCAUCGCUCGCGAUGUUUAACUGACAUGAUUGUGGGACGUCCUACCGGUGGGCUUAGCCUUUCGGGGCGGCCCAGCUAAUAUCCCAUCGCGGUGCUCUUCACCGAGUGUCGAGGUGGGCCGGUACGUUUACUUUGAACAAAUUAGAGUGCUCAAAGCAGGCUAUGUUCGCCUGAAUACUGUGUGCAUGGAAUAAUGGAAUAGGACCUCGGUUCUAUUUUGUUGGUUUUCGGAACCCCGAGGUAAUGAUUAAUAGGGACAGAUGGGGGCAUUCGUAUUGCGACGUUAGAGGUGAAAUUCUUGGAUCGUCGCAAGACGGACAGAAGCGAAAGCAUUUGCCAAAAAUGUUUUCAUUAAUCAAGAACGAAAGUUAGAGGUUCGAAGGCGAUCAGAUACCGCCCUAGUUCUAACCAUAAACGAUGCCAGCUAGCGAUCCGCCGAAGUUCCUCCGAUGACUCGGCGGGCAGCUUCCGGGAAACCAAAGCUUUUGGGUUCCGGGGGAAGUAUGGUUGCAAAGCUGAAACUUAAAGGAAUUGACGGAAGGGCACCACCAGGAGUGGAGCCUGCGGCUUAAUUUGACUCAACAC